rnacentral:lncRNA from 1 species
AGGAAUCAAACCUGACCUCAGGUAGCCAAGUUUUGAAAUCCGUUGGAAAAAAAUGGAGCAGUCAAAAACGCAGGGACACGGGGACAACGAAAUAAAUCUGACGUUUGUAGUAGGCCGGCCGCAGGAAACAGGGAAAGAAGAGGUGACGCUUGGAUACGAACAGCAUCGGAUCCCGACCUCGCCACACCUAUGGGCCCUGGAGAUGCUACACCCCUGCCCGGUCGGUGAACUAGCUCAGCUAGGAGGCAGACAACACGCCGGCUUCCUCCCCGGGUGUUCCUCUCAGGUCCUGCUCGCUCUCCGCCCGCUCCCUCUCCGCCGAAGAUCCCAUUGCGAGCGUGGCUCCGGGGUCCAUGCUCGAUUCCAGGGAGAUGUAAAGCGGCCAUGGAGACAGCUGGAAGAGCUAAGGUCACGGCCGGCGCGGCCUUACCACCCACCUUCAUCGUAGUUAUAUCCCCGGACGUUCCGAUGCCGGGCCAUCGCGCACAGACGGCGCCUGCCGCCGUCCGAAAGAAUUCCACUGUGUAGAAGUGUAGGAGGAAGUGCCGGCAUGACCGGACAGCCAGCCUCCUUGGAGUACUGCACUUCUGAGAAGCACGGCACACCACACACCUAAAGUCAGAACACUGGAUUCUCAGGAAGCGUGAAUAGCUGGUGUCUGUCCUGUGAAGAGUCUGCACUCUCCGUUUCACCUCUGUGUGCAUCUUC